rnacentral:lncRNA from 1 species
UCAGUUACUAUCAAUGGGGUUUCAGUUCCACAGGUUCUUAUUCAGUGGGAGAAUUUACCAAUUGAUCAAGCUACUUGGGAGGAUCUAUCUGAUUUUCAGGCUAAAUACCCGACAUUCAAUCCUUGGGGACAAGGAUCAUCUACAGGGGGGGGUAAUGUCAUAGCCUUGAAGGAUUGGGGCUGCAAGAAGAAGAGGAAGAGGGGAGAUUCAAAAGGGAAAGAGAGUGCGCGAAUUCAAAUGAUUGGAGCGGAGGGAAUUAGGGCUGUGAAGAACGACAUCGUUUUGGUUGGAAAGGAGAACGACACCGUUUUAGAGGAAGGAGCGCGUGAGGAAAAAGAUGCUGAAUUACUCGCGCGCGUGUAGGCAAAACAAGCUGCUGGAAACUACUAGUUGAAGGACACGUGUUUUAAUUUUAUUUGUUAAGAAUGAAUAUUUUUAUUUUGGCAGAAACCGUUAUAUGUAGCCAGAAAAGAUGAUUUGGGAAUUAAUCAGAAAAAGUUAUUUUCUCUCUCUAUUCUUGUCUUCUUCUAUCUCUCAUCUCUCUCACUUCUUAUCUAUCUUUCUUCUUCCCCAAGUUCCACCAUUACUGUCUACCAAGCUUUUACAGAUAUUAUAUAUUUAAAUUACAUAUAUAUAUAUAGGCAGGAUCUGACACAAUAGCAUUACGAAUUAACUACAAACGAAAAAUAAUGCGUAAAUUAAAGAAAUAAUACAUUUGAUUUGAGGGCUUAAUGCUUCAAUCUUCAGUAGCGGCAAGAGAACACUUGUUGAACAGAGAGUAGCAGCGGCGGUGGAAGCAAAAAAUCAGAAGGGGGAAAAGAGAAGACAUAACUAGGGUUUUUUUGGGGGCUUUGUUUGCCUCAUUCGGAGAAGCAAGGCCUCCGUUCAACGGCGCCGACCACAUCCGUUAUUGGAAAUUCGGCACCGGCCAGUUUGACCACAGUCAACGCUGAUAUCUCCAUUCGCCUCCGCCAUUAGGGUUUGAUCGGAGUUGUGGACGAUGCUAAAUUCUUAUCCAUGGUGGAUUAAUUUCAUAACCGACCCAAUAAAAAACUUUUUUACUUAUAAUUGAUAUUUCAAAUAUUUAUUUAUUAUUAUUAAAUAGGGUGGAGAUCAGAUGCAACGGAGUGCACCGUAGCCAGAAUAAUCAUCUGAUUUUCAACGCAAACC